rnacentral:rRNA from 1 species
GACGAACGCUGGCGGCGUGCCUAAUACAUGCAAGUCGAGCGAAUUUUUGGGGGCUUGCUCCCAAAAGUUAGCGGCGGACGGGUGAGUAACACGUGGGCAACCUGCCUAUAAGACUGGGAUAACUUCGGGAAACCGGAGCUAAUACCGGAUAAUUCAUAUCUACUCAUGUAGGUAUGCUGAAAGACGGUUUACGCUGUCACUUAUAGAUGGGCACGCGGCGCAUUAGCUAGUUGGUGAGGUAACGGCUCACCAAGGCAACGAUGCGUAGCCGACCUGAGAGGGUGAUCGGCCACACUGGGACUGAGACACGGCCCAGACUCCUACGGGAGGCAGCAGUAGGGAAUCUUCCGCAAUGGACGAAAGUCUGACGGAGCAACGCCGCGUGAGUGAUGAAGGUUUUCGGAUCGUAAAACUCUGUUGUUAGGGAAGAACAAGUACUAGAGUAACUGCUAGUACCUUGACAGUACCUUCAGAAUAAGCCUCGGCUAACUACGUGCCAGCAGCCGCGGUAACAC